CUGGCUCAGGAUGAACGCUAGCGACAGGCCUAACACAUGCAAGUCGGGGGGCAGCACAAGGAGCAAUCUGAGGUGGCGACCGGCGCACGGGUGAGUAACACGUAUGCAACCUGCCUGUAAGCGGGGAAUAACCCGUUGAAAGACGGACUAAUACCGCAUAAUACUAAAUUACUGCAUGGUAAUUUAUUUAAACAUUUAUGGCUUACAGAUGGGCAUGCGCAUGAUUAGCUAGUUGGAGAGGUAACGGCUCCCCAAGGCAACGAUCAUUAGGGGUUCUGAGAGGAAGGUCCCCCACACUGGUACUGAGACACGGACCAGACUCCCACGGGAGGCAGCAGUGAGGAAUAUUGGUCAAUGGACGAGAGUCUGAACCAGCCAAGUCGCGUGCAGGAAGAAUGUCCCUAUGGAUUGUAAACUGCUUUUGCAGGGGAAUAAAGUGCAUCACGUGUGAUGUUUUGUAUGUACUCUGCGAAUAAGGAUCGGCUAACUCCGUGCCAGCAGCCGC
rnacentral:rRNA from 1 species